CGGCAGGCUUAAUACAUGCAAGUUGAGGGGCAGCAUGAUAUACGCGAGUAUAUUGAUGGCGACCGGCGGACGGGUGAGUAAUAGGGUAGGAGACCUACCUCAGUACAGGGGGAUAGCAUAGGAGAAAUCUGUGGUAAUACCCCAUGAGGUUAUAUGAAUAGAGGCAUAUAAUCAAAGCAUAAGCGAUUAUGCGGUAUGAGAGGGGCCUACUGACCAUUAGCUAGUUGGUGAGAUAAGAGCUCACCAAGGCGAAGAUGGUUAGGGGUUUUGAGAGAGAGAUCCCCCACAUUGGAACUGAGAUACGGUCCAGACUCCUACGGGAGGCAGCAGUAGGGAAUAUUGGGCAAUGGGCGGAAGCCUGACCCAGCCAUGCCGCGUGAAGGAAGACGGCCUUAUGGGUUGUAAACUUCUUUACUAUGCGACUAACUAGAUUUACGAGAUAAUUCUAUAGAAUGUAGCAUAGCAAAAAGCACCGGCUAACUCCGUG
rnacentral:rRNA from 1 species